GAUUUGCAGUUUCUCUCACUCUCGCUCUCGCUCGAAUUCUCUCUGUCGCAGUCUUACUCUCGCUCUUGCUCGAAUUUUCUCUCACACUCUCUGUACUCAUCUCUUCAUCAGAUUCGAAGGUUGAUUCUUGAAGAUUCGAAGGUUGAUUCUCCAGAUUUGCAGUUGUCUCUUUCGAUUUUAUCUCAUCGUUCAUCAAUUGGUCGAUUAAUCUACAUGAAACCUGUUUGAGAUUUGGCUUCUCAAAUCUUUAGCAUUGGAGAAGGAAGAGUUGAUGCAAGCAUUGCUUGCUGAAUCAUCUAAAAGUUCCACACUGAAGUGAAAUGAAAUCUUAGAUGUCAAUAUUGGUGCUAAUCGGCAUACACUUGCAAAUUCUGAACACCUUGGAGACAAGCCGACAACUCAGGUGGAAGUUUGGGUUGAUGUGACCAGUUGUGAGAAGCAGCUUUUGGAACUGCUUGAUGUAGUGAAUUGCUAUUUAGAGUAUUGAGUAUUGUUGUUAGAUUUGCUUCUAGUUGUUAAUUUGUAUUGAUGCUUAAAGCUGUUAAUUUGUAUUGAUGCUUAAAGCUGUUAAUUUUUAUUGGUACUUUGGAUUGAAUAGUAUGUCAUCUU